rnacentral:rRNA from 1 species
CGAACGCUGGCGGUGCGCCUUAUGCAUGCAAGUCGAGCGAAGCUUUUCAGUAGUUUACUACAGAAAAUGACUGAGCGGCGAACGGGUGAGUAACGCGUGAGCAACCUACCUUAGUUACUGGGAUAGCCCGAGGAAACUCGGAUUAAUACCGGAUAUUCUUAUUUAAUCACAUGAUUUUUUAAGGAAAGGUCAGCCGAACUAAGAUGGGCUCGCGUUCUAUCAGCUAGUUGGUAGGGUAAUGGCCUACCAAGGCUACGACGGAUAGCUGGUCUGAGAGGACGAUCAGCCACACUGGGACUGAGACACGGCCCAGACUCCUACGGGAGGCUGCAGCAGGGAAUAUUGCGCAAUGAGCGAAAGCUUGACGCAGCGACACCGCGUGUGGGAUGACGGAUCUAGGUUUGUAAACCACUUUCAGGAGGGAAGAAAAUGACGGUACCUCCACAAGAAGCCCCGGCCAA